GGAGGUAUGGCCGAGCGGCUUAAAGCAUUGGUUUGCUAAAUCAACAUACAAACACUAUUGUAUCAUGGGUUCGAAUCCCAUUACCUCCG
rnacentral:tRNA from 1 species